GGAUUCAUUUCCACGUAUUUUAAUUUGGCCUCUCAUCGUAUAAAGUUUUGCAAUUAAUUGAAAAAGUUAAAUUAGACCGCCCAUGGGGGGGGGGGGAAAUUGGUUGAAACUUUCUGAAUGUCUAUCAAGAGUGGUUUUGGCCCAAAAAGUGGAAAAAUGUUGGCGAUCUCUUGCACAAUUGUGUAGAUAACGGGAGGUUCAUGUCCGUCACGUAUUGUGAGCUGUUGGACUGGUGUCUGGUGACAUAAGAGAGAGCAUAAAUCUCCGUGUAAAAUCAGUAAUGAGUAUAGCCAUGUGCAGGUCCGGCCCCACAAUGGGUUAAAUAAUUCCUUAACCAAGGCAUUUACGAGCGCCUUUUGUCGUGUAAUGCCUUAGCUACCGGUCCUAUUGUGUUUUUUGCUUUCCCUUUCAAAAUUUUCCUUUUACGGGGCCAUUUAUAACCCCUUCGGUGACAGAAGUUGAUCGUUGUCCGCUCCUACACCCCCGAAUAUUUAGUCCUUGCUGUAGGCCGUCAAGAUUUUAUUAAUGAUACGGCCACUGUCCACUUGGCGCCGGACAAAAGGCCCUCAAGAACACCUCGAUAAUUAUCGCUUAAACACCAUUUAAAAUUCUCGGAAACGUGAUGCAACUCAAGAGCUGCUCCGCAGAUGAAUACACUUGGAGAAAAAAUCUACAAGUGUGACGGCAACCAAGCGAAAUUCGUGCUCGGUUAAGCCUUUACGGGACGAAAUCUUUUAAGCCCCAAACACCGCUUUACAAAAUGGAUAAAGAAGUAUUGAUAUGUGAGCUGAGCGAACCCUUUCAAGAGGUGUCCGAUGGGACAUUCGAGUACAAUCGCCCGAGAACAACCAACCCCUUCACAAAAGAAACGCCUUCAAGCCCCUAACAAAAAAACCCAUUUAAACGAUAUUUUUUGCCGCGUCCGCGGGGGGCAGCACCUCACCAAACCAAAAAAAGCAAACUAUACGUGACCCAAUUACAAUUAAGCCGUAAUUUUGAGUGAUAAGUGCGUAACAAUCAAUUAGACACUAUUUGUGCCAAUUUCGUGUUAAGUACCCCCGGAAUUGAAAAUUUAGAUUUUGGAAAAAACCAGUCGGUAUGGUAGGUCGCACAAUUGCCAGAAAUUUCUAGGUUAGAAUACCCAGCAAAAAACCAGGCUAGAAUGGCAAAUUUGGGCUGAAUUGCCUUCCAACGUGUUUUUUUGAGCGGCCGAAGGCACCUAACGUGUGCCCCUAUCGUUUCUUUGCGCCCCAUUCGUAAAAAAACAGGAGCCGCAUAUUUUGUCCGUUGUACGAGCACAAGCCCCAAUGCGAGUAAAGCGUCCGAUGAGGAGCACCACUCAUUUACAUGCAAUCUUAAUUCCAACUGAAUUUAGUCUCAUAUUAAGGGAAUUUCUGGAAAUACUUUUAGAUUUGCAAAAAUCUGUCUUUGUUAGUUUUUUAUUUACGGUCGAAUUGAGAUAUUCUAUAGCAAAAUUACGAUUUCUCAUUUGAGUUACUUCUUUGAUAUUUUUUGGUAUAUUUAGUUUUUUAUCUUGAGUAAAAGAUUUGUAACUAUUUUUAAAUUGCUGGAGGUCAAAUUGUUGUCUUAUUUUUAAUGGUGUAUAAUAUUCUGCUACAAUUUUACUUUCUUUAGUAUUUGCCAUUUUUUAAUUUAUUUUAGAAAAUUUAUCUGAUUAUUAAUUAGGUACAUGACAACAAAAAAAUGCUUGUUUUUUACACCUGCUAGAGUAUAAGCCACCAAACUCACACCAUUUGUGGAGGUCAAUUUUUUCGAGACUAAUUUUAUACUCACAAAGAAAGUAUAAGACAUCUAUUCAGAGUUUGGGUAAAGAUUAACUUAUAAAGGUUAACUUACAAGGGUAUACCUGUUUAUUUUUUUCUGUUCCGUAUAAAAGAUUUAAAACUGUUUUUGAAUUGUUGGUGUGCUUGUUAACAGUGUGUAGUUAAUACUAUGGGUCAAUCUUGCUUGCUUUAUUUUUUACAAUUUAGUAAUGAAAAACAGGUAUUUUGAUAUGUCAUUUGAGUUGUCAAACGCCCUUCAUUUUAUCACUAGUGUUAAAAAAUAACAUUAUUUUAUAAUUAUUGUUUAAAAGUACAGUGGAAAAAAAUGAUUUUCAUCUAGUUGCUUGUGAGAUUUUUUCUCAUGGAAUGUUUCCUGUGCCGCUUCAUUGGGAUUUCUGUCAAUAAAUGUCAUCAAUCAAUAAAAUUGACAAUUACAAAUUAUUACAAUUUUCGGAACUGUAGUAACACACACUUUCCAUGUACAGUUUGUAAGAAAAUACCUACUGUCCUACAUUUUAGAGGCGUACAUCCGACCUGGACACAUAAGGUAAAUCGAGAAUGGCAAUAUUCAAUUCUUUUUGGUUAGAGUACUGCCGUCCUUAUUUGCGUAUAGCGGGACUACGUAUUUUUACAUCAGUAAUCCAAACGAGACUUGAUGAAAAUCAUUUUUUUUCCACUCUGUAGAAUAUCAUUAAUAUAUUCAAGGAAUCAAAUUUAUUAUAUCCUCUUGGAGAAACAUCCGUUUUUAUAAGCAGACUCGUAUAAUUUCUUUGAUUUUAAGAAUCUUCAGAAUUACUCAUAUCAAAAUGGUUGCUUUUCGUGACUGAUUCGUAAAAAAUACUAGUAUGCAAUACGUUGCAAAAUGCCUUUGUUUUUUGCAGCUUAUUGCAUAAAGAGCUUAGAGCUAUUACAAAUUCUAUUUUGAAUUUUGUCAUUAAUCCAUUGACUUACAAUGUCCGUAAAAGGUGCAUAUUGUACAUACUCAAACUUAUGUAAAUAUUGCAUAAAUUAUAAGUUAAAGGGUUAAUUCAAAAUUCAACGUUUGUUAAACUCACUCAAGGUUUGUCUAUCAUGCUUCCCAUUUCUUUGUAGUAUUUUUCGAUUUAUUGUGCAAACAUUAAUUCGUGGUUUUCAUUCAUUG